CGGGCUUUGUACACACCGCCCGUCACAUCACGAAAGUCGGCAACACCCGAAGUCAGUGGCCCAACCCUUACGGGGGGGAGCUGCCGAAGGUGGGGUCGGCGAUUGGGAUG
rnacentral:rRNA from 1 species